rnacentral:rRNA from 1 species
UUUUUGAUUAAUAAUUUAAAGUCUAAUCUGCCCACUGAUAUAAUAUUAAAGGGCUGCAGUAUUUUGACUGUACAAAGGUAGCAUAAUCAUUAGUCUCUUAAUUGGUGACUUGUAUGAAAGAUUUGAUGAAAUAUAUACUGUCUCUUUUUAAUUUAUAAAAUUUAAUUUUUUAGUUAAAAAGCUAAAAUAUGUUUAAAAGACGAGAAGACCCUAUAGAGUUUUAUAUUUAUAUAAAUUAAAAUUUUUUGUAAGAUUUAAAAUUUUGAUAUAUUUAAAUAUUAUGUUGGGGUGACGAAAAAAUUUGAAUAACUUUUUUUAUAAAUUAAACAUUUAUUAAUGAAUAUUUGAUCCGUAAUUUACGAUUAUAAGAAAAAAUUACCUUAGGGAUAACAGCGUAAUUUUUUUUUUUAGUUCAAAUAAGAAUUAAAGUUUGCGACCUCGAUGUUGGAUUAAGAUAAAAUUUAAAUGCAAAAGUUUAAAAUUUUUGAUCUGUUCGAUCAUUAAAAUCUUACA